GUGCCAGGACAUCUUUUAAGGAGUUCGAGCCUUCCCAUCUUCCUAGAACAAGAGCCACACCUGGGGCGACGCAGCAAACCGACCCCCUCCCCAUGGUGGCGCAACAGAUUCCCGCCUUUUUCGCACACUAUUCAUCAAGCUUUCCACCAAGGAUGGCGCAUUAUCGGCAGACACACAAACAACCUCCACUUACCAAUGCACAUCCUUGGUCCAUAUCCAAAAGGCAGAAGGGAGAAUGACUGGACGUUUGAUGACUCAGUCCGGAGCCAUCUCUCCGCACGAAGAUAGUGCAUCUUGUUCAACACCCUGUCGUCUAUGGGCUGCUCUGGUGGAACAACCUCCAAGAUCUCCUCGUACAGUUUUUGCUGAGCAUCGGGAUUUUUCGCCAGGCAGUACAGAUUGAAGACCAGAGUGUGUGCCGUCUGAAGCAUUAAAAAAAUGAAGGAGCUUGGUAAAGUCGGGGACCUGUCCAGCGGUCUUGCCCUUCCGUACCACCCCUUGUAUCAGCCCGACCAGCUCCCGGGACACCUCAUCCUGCAUUGUGGCGUACGCACCUACCGCCUUUGGGCGCAUCAUGUCCUUAUUAACAGACCUUCGGAGGCGGAACCACUCUUCUCCAUUUCUGCAUAAACAAUAUGCAGAUACGUGACUAGCUGAGCAGUGGACCAUGAUUUGCAGGAAGCCUAUGGCGUCCCCCGUCUCUGCAACUUCUGCUUAACGACCGCACAGAAGCAAUGGAUUUUACGCCUUUCUGACAAAUAUGGAGUGGA